CUUACCAGGUCCAGACACAGUUAGGAUUGACAGAUUGAGAGCUCUUUCUUGAUUCUGUGGGUGGUGGUGCAUGGCCGUUCUUAGUUGGUGGAGUGAUUUGUCUGGUUAAUUCCGAUAACGAACGAGACCUCAGCCUGCUAAUUAGUUAUAUAAAUUAUUACAACUAUAAGGGUUUAUUGGAAAGGUUAAUCCUUUGUGGUUAACAUUUUCAGUAAAAACUUGUAUUAAUUUAUAAAAACUUCUUAGAGGGACACUUGGUGUUUAACCAAGGGAAGUUUGAGGCAAUAACAGGUCUGUGAUGCCCUUUAGAUGUUCUGGGCUGCACGCGCGCUACACUGAUACAAUCAACAAGUACAAAAGACCUUAGCUGAAAAGUUUGGGUAAACUUUUGAAAUUGUAUCGUGAUGGGGAUCGAUAAUUGUAAUUAUUUAUCGUCAACGAGGAAUUCCUAGUAAGCGCAAGUCAUCAGCUUGCGCUGAUUACGUCCCUGCCCUUUGUACACACCGCCCGUC
rnacentral:rRNA from 1 species